CUCAUGCAAUGGCGCUGUGUCACCGUGUGUACACCCUGGGACACAGACGCAUUGCUGCUGCAAUCAGUUAUAGGGCCUGUACAAAAGCCCCAUACAAAGGCUGCUACAGAAAGGGUUUCUCUAUGUAAGCCCCUCCACAUUGCUGUUAUACUGCCAUCUGUUGUCCCAGUGUGCUCAGGACUUCAUAAAAAUAGUCCGAGUAUUAACUCUUCCUGUGGUACAUAUCUUCCACCUUUUGGACUUGCAGUCUUGACUCUUUCGACUCACCUAAGAUUUUCGAUAUAUGGAAACUUGUGCCUAAAGCUUACCUUCCGACUUGGUAUAUUUCCAUCUUAUAUGCCCCGUGGACGCACCCAUCGAGGGACCACCAGCCAUGUAAAUACACACUAUGACACUUUUAUGCAUUGCAUUUUAUUUUAAUUCUAUAUUUUGAUUAAUAUUUUUGUUUGACUAAUAUGCCACACUGUAUCAUUGCAGAUAAGUUUCUAUCUCUCUGCUAACUAUAUAUUCCUCAUCUUUGCCCUGAAGAAGCCCCACGGCGAAACGUGCGUUGGCGACUUCGGAGGAAUGUACAGUGGUCAUUUACU